GGGCAGCUGCGAAGCUGAGGACCUAGACAAAAAAGAAGCAGCAGCUUCUUCUUCAAUUGAAAUCGGCUGCCCCACAAGAACAGGCCCUACCCCCCGCAUCGUCUUCUCCAAGUGACCUCUCCUUUCUUCUUUGAACCAGCAGCAACCCAGCAACAACCAGUACUAGCUACAUCGACGACUACCCUCCUACACUUCUCCAAACGGCCAUACACACACAGUCAGACGCCGGAGGUGUCAAGGUUCCGUCCAUUGGUUUUCCG
rnacentral:lncRNA from 1 species